rnacentral:snoRNA from 1 species
GUGCAAAUGCAAAGAAAAAGGGUCCUCCUGCUUUCUGUCUGUCUGAUAGUGGCAGCCAAGACUGAAUGGGAGAGUACAGUG